CCCGUUUCCGGUUCCGAAGGUCCGGAAACUGGCCGGAGGGUCCGGCACCCGCCGGUCCGCAGUUGCGCUCCCUCCCGCCCAGGCGUGCGGCUCAGCCAUUUUGUGCACGUUUCCACCCUCCCUUCGGGCACGUGGUACUGCGGCUCGCCGCCGUGGCCCGAGUCGCGAUGACUGCACGCGGUGUACGGCGUUGCUCUCCCUCGGCUCCCGCCCCUCCCCUCUACCCAGUGGGCGAAAUGUGGGCAAGCUGCCCUUGGCGACGCUCCGCAUCCGGGUUCUUGGGCCGCGACGAGCCUGGCGACGCCCAUUCCGGUGCGGGGGGGCUAAAUCGCCCCCAGGCUGUGACACGGAUUGGCGGGUCCCCCACAACCCCAUCUCCCAGGCAGGCCUCUUGUGCUAAAUUACUGGCGCAUUCGGAGGCCGUAUGGACGUUUAAGAUGAGCUGAGACGUUUGGAGAAAUGGAUGAGGAAACCAAUGUAUUGUUAAAAUUAACAUUGUGUGCCUGGAGUUGUGCUUUCGUUCUGAAUCCCUAUUGUCCUGGUCGUGGCAAUAGCGGCGGUUGUACUCCUCGUUUUGCAAGAGAAGCUGUAUGGUUCAGCGGUUAGGCCCUGGUCACAGCAGUGGCCUGGGUUGGGAUUCAAACCCUCAAGUCUGGGGCACUUUCCAUGAACCAAACCACCAAUGCCAACCAUUCUGGUCAGGUAGUGACUAUAUUAGUGGCUCUAAUGAGGAGACAUUAUUAGAGGAAAUAAGUAUCACCUUACAGCCCCAAACUUUUUUUAAAAAUAUUUUUUAAUGGGAUGAGGAGAGGUACCCUAGUCAAUUAGUGAUGAUCCAAAUUUGCCUAUUGAUGAAAUUUUAGUACAGAGAUAAUGUAUUUGUGCUCUUCUUCAGACUUAAAUCUCCAUGGAUAAUAUGAAAUGUUCGUGCCUUUUUGAAAAUCAACUAUUAAAAAUAACAGUAGUCAUCUCUAGUUAUUGACAGUAAAGAAUCUUGGAAUUAGAGAAUUUUUGGAGGAUUUAGAAUUUUCAAGUUUGACAACUGUGCCCCCAGAGAAGCAGAACAUCUUCAUCUCUCCAGUUUCUUCAUUUUGAAUCCUGAUGUUGUUCAGGAAUCCCUCUUACCCAGAACUGGUGUAGCUCAGCAUCCUGAUCUCCAAGAGUGGUCUGGACCGGUCUAAGGGUAAUAUCACCCUCUUGCAAGGGACUGGGUUAUGCAUUUAAGUAAAUGUCAUUGAAGAGGUGAUUUGAACGACGUUGAAAAUCAUCAGUUCCAGGGUGCCUGGGUGGCUCAGUUGGUUAAGCGACUGCCUUCGGCUCAGGUCAUGAUCCUGGAG